rnacentral:rRNA from 1 species
UACGGAGGGUGCAAGCGUUAUCCGGAAUCACUGGGUUUAAAGGGUGCGCAGGCGGCCCGUUUAGUCAGUUGUGAAAUCCCCCGGCUUAACCGGCGGGACUGCGAUUGAUACUGGCGGGCUUGAAUCGGGUUGAGGCAGGCGGAAUGUGGCAUGUAGCGGUGAAAUGCUUAGAUAUGCCAUAGAACACCGAUUGCGAAGGCAGCUUGCUGGGCCUUGAUUGACGCUGAGGCACGAAAGCGUGGGGAGCAAACAGG